rnacentral:piRNA from 1 species
CCGAGGCUUCCAUCCUAUUGGUGUUGUGA